rnacentral:rRNA from 1 species
UCGGGAUCUUGAGAGCGGCGUACGGGUGCGGAACACGUGUGCAACCUGCCUUUAUCUGGGGGAUAGCCUUUCGAAAGGAAGAUUAAUACCCCAUAAUAUACUGRAUGGCAUCAUUCGGUAUUGAAAACUCCGGUGGAUAGAGAUGGGCACGCGCAAGAUUAGAUAGUUGGUGAGGUAACGGCUCACCAAGUCUACGAUCUUUAGGGGGCCUGAGAGGGUGAUCCCCCACACUGGUACUGAGACACGGACCAGACUCCUACGGGAGGCAGCAGUGAGGAAUAUUGGACAAUGGGUGAGAGCCUGAUCCAGCCAUCCCGCGUGAAGGACGACGGCCCUAUGGGUUGUAAACUUCUUUUGUAUAGGGAUAAACCUACCCUCGUGAGGGUAGCUGAAGGUACUAUACGAAUAAGCACCGGCUAACUCCGUGCCAGCAGCCGCGGUAAUACGGAGGGUGCAAGCGUUAUCCGGAUUUAUUGGGUUUAAAGGGUCCGUAGGCGGAUCUGUAAGUCAGUGGUGAAAUCUCACAGCUUAACUGUGAAACUGCCAUUGAUACUGCAGGUCUUGAGUGUUGUUGAAGUAGCUGGAAUAAGUAGUGUAGCGGUGAAAUGCAUAGAUAUUACUUAGAACACCAAUUGCGAAGGCAGGUUACUAAGCAACAACUGACGCUGAUGGACGAAAGCGUGGGGAGCGAACAGGAUUAGAUACCCUGGUAGUCCACGCCGUAAACGAUGCUAACUCGUUUUUGGAAUGUAAGUUUCAGAGACUAAGCGAAAGUGAUAAGUUAGCCACCUGGGGAGUACGAACGCAAGUUUGAAACUCAAAGGAAUUGACGGGGGCCCGCACAAGCGGUGGAUUAUGUGGUUUAAUUCGAUGAUACGCGAGGAACCUUACCAAGGCUUAAAUGGGAAAUGACAGGUUUAGAAAUAGACUUUUCUUCGGACAUUUUUCAAGGUGCUGCAUGGUUGUCGUCAGCUCGUGCCGUGAGGUGUUAGGUUAAGUCCUGCAACGAGCGCAACCCCUGUCACUAGUUGCCAUCAUUAAGUUGGGGACUCUAGUGAGACUGCCUACGCAAGUAGAGAGGAAGGUGGGGAUGACGUCAAAUCAUCACGGCCCUUACGCCUUGGGCCACACACGUAAUACAAUGGCCGGUACAGAGGGCAGCUACACUGCGAAGUGAUGCAAAUCUCGAAAGCCGGUCUCAGUUCGGAUUGGAGUCUGCAACUCGACUCUAUGAAGCUGGAAUCGCUAGUAAUCGCGCAUCAGCCAUGGCGCGGUGAAUACGUUCCCGGGCCUUGUACACACCGCCCGUCAAGCCAUGGAAGUCUGGGGUACCUGAAGUCGGUGACCGUAACAGGAGCUGCCUAG